rnacentral:rRNA from 1 species
UACGGAGGGUGCAAGCGUUAUCCGGAUUCACUGGGUUUAAAGGGUGCGUAGGAGGGCAGGUAAGUCAGUGGUGAAAUCUCCGAGCUUAACUUGGAAACUGCCGUUGAUACUAUCUGUCUUGAAUGUUGUGGAGGUGAGCGGAAUAUGUCAUGUAGCGGUGAAAUGCUUAGAUAUGGCGUAGAACACCAGUUGCGAAGGCAGCUCACUGGACAAUUAUUGACUCUGAUGCACGAAAGCGUGGGGAUCAAACAGG